CCUACUGGAGGCAGCCGUGGGGAAUAUUGCACAAUGGGGGAAACCCUGAUGCAGCGACGCCGCGUGAGUGAAGAAGUCUCUCGGUACGUAAACCUCUUUUGUCAGGGAGCAAGGUGCCGGUCGGGACCUGCUGUGAGAGUACCUGAAGAAAAAGCAUCGGCUAACUCCGUGCCAGCAGCCGCGGUAAUACGGAGGAUGCGAGCGUUAUCCGGAUUUAUUGGGUUUAAAGGGUGCGCAGGCGGAGGCACAAGUCAGCGGUAAAAUCGCGGGGAUCAACCCCGCUCCGCCGUUGAAACUGUGUCCCUUGAGUGCGCGAAGGGUAGGCGGAAGGCGUGGUGUAGCGGUGAAAUGCAUAGAUAUCACGCAGAACUCAGAUCGCGAAGGCAGCCUACCGGCGCGCAACUGACGCUCAUGCACGAAAGCGUGGGUAUCGAACAGGAUUAGAUACCCGAGUAGUC
rnacentral:rRNA from 1 species